rnacentral:rRNA from 1 species
UACGUAGGGGGCUAGCGUUGUCCGGAAUCAUUGGGCGUAAAGAGCGUGUAGGCGGGCCGGUAAGUCCGCUGUGAAAGUCGGGGGCUCAACCCUCGAAUGCCGGUGGAUACUGUCGGGCUAGAGUGCGGAAGAGGCGAGUGGAAUUCCUGGUGUAGCGGUGAAAUGCGCAGAUAUCAGGAGGAACACCUAUUGCGAAGGCAGCUCGCUGGGACGUAACUGACGCUGAGACGCGAAAGCGUGGGGAGCAAACAGG